GACGAACGCUGGCGGCGUGCUUAACACAUGCAAGUCGAACGGAAAGGCCCUGCUUUUGUGGGGUGCUCGAGUGGCGAACGGGUGAGUAACACGUGAGUAACCUGCCCUUGACUUUGGGAUAACUUCAGGAAACUGGGGCUAAUACCGGAUAGGAGCUCCUGCUGCAUGGUGGGGGUUGGAAAGUUUCGGCGGUUGUGGAUGGACUCGCGGCUUAUCAGCUUGUUGGUGGGGUAGUGGCUUACCAAGGCUUUGACGGGUAGGCGGCCUGAGAGGGUGACCGGCCACAUUGGGACUGAGGUACGGCCCAGACUCCUACGGGAGGCAGCAGUGGGGAAUAUUGCAGAAUGGGCGGAAGCCUGAUGCAGCAACGCCGCGUGCGGGAUGACGGCCUUCGGGUUGUAAACCGCUUUCGCCUGUGACGAAGCGUGAGUGACGGUAAUGGGUAAAGAAGCACCGGCUAACUACGUG
rnacentral:rRNA from 1 species